AACGAACGCUGGCGGCGCGCCUAACACAUGCAAGUCGAACGAGAAGGCGUAGCAAUACGCUUGUAGAGUGGCGAACGGGUGAGUAAUACGUGGGUGACCUACCCUCGAGUGGGGAAUAACCCGCCGAAAGGCGGGCUAAUGCCGCGUACGCUUCCGUCCUCACGGGGACGGAAGGAAAGCUGUACCGUGGGUACGGCGCUCAAGGAUGGGCUCACGUCCUAUCAGCUUGUUGGUAGGGUAACGGCCACCAAGGCUACGACGGGUAGCUGGUCUGAGAGGACGAUCAGCCACACUGGCACUGCGACACGGGCCAGACUCCUACGGGAGGCAGCAGUGAGGAAUAUUGCGCAAUGGGCGAAAGCCUGACGCAGCGACGCCGCGUGGGGGAUGAAGGU
rnacentral:rRNA from 1 species